CUGCCUUGUGCCUCGCUCGACUUGUCUACUGGCAAGUCUUGAGCUGGAUACUAGCAUUGGUUUACCAUGCUUUGUAAUGGGCUAGAUUGACAAGGUUUCUUUUGAGUACGAUACCAUCCCAUGGUGCUAUUGUAAUUAUAAACCUUAACAUUA
rnacentral:snoRNA from 1 species